rnacentral:rRNA from 1 species
AUUAAUUGAACUCAAUCUACAAAAUAUAAUUAUUUUUAUACCUGGUCCUUUCGUACUAAGGUAUAACAGUUUAUUAAAGAUAGAAACCAACCUGGCUUACGCCGGUCUGAACUCAGAUCAUGUAAGAAUUUAAAAGUCGAACAGACUUAAUGUUUAAGCGGCUACACCUAAAAAUAUAUCUUAAUCCAACAUCGAGGUCGCAAACUUUUUUAUCGAUAUGAACUCUCCAAAAAAAUUACGCUGUUAUCCCUAAAGUAACUUAAUCUUAUAAUCGCUAAUAACGGAUCAAAUAUUCAUAAAUUAAUGAUUCUUUAAAAUUAAAAGUUUAUUAAAUUUUAACAUCACCCCAACAAAAUAUUUUAUUUCAUAAAAAUAAAAUUAAUCUAUAAAAUUUAUAAAAAACAAAAUAUAAAGAUUUAUAGGGUCUUCUCGUCUUUUAAUAAAAUUUUAGCUUUUUAACUAAAAUAUAAAAUUCUAUAAUAAAUUUAUAUGAAACAGCUUAUACCUCG